GAUUAUCAAAAUGAUUAAUGAAACUAUGGUUUUUCCCUCAAAGAUUGGAGUUCCUUUUCCCAAGAACUUCAUGUCUGUGGCCAAAACCAUCCUGAAGCGUCUGUUCCGGGUUUACGCUCACAUCUACCACCAACAUUUUGACUCUGUGAUGCAGCUGCAGGAGGAGGCCCACCUCAACACGUCCUUCAAGCACUUCAUUUUCUUUGUUCAGGUAAGAUUACCCUGCUACAAUGUAGGGUUUAAUCACUGCUGUCUAUUUAAAGCUCCAUCCAGACAUGCACUGUAAUAUGGGCUCUGCCGAUUUUACGUUGUUAAAAAACCUUACUUUUUCCUUAAACGUCGCUAUGGCAAUCUGCCUGCUAAGGAACUAGUAACAUAUGUGUAAUGUUGCUCAAGUGUGACUAAAAUCAAUAAUGCAGUUAAAAGCAUCAACA